UCUGGUUACCAUGGCAAACCCCACUAACGACAGCAGAGGUGGGGUGCGUGAUGUAUCAAGUAGCCAGGGUUCUGCCUUCCCACAGGAAAGCAGCUAUGUCUGCCAGCAGUACUGAUCAGCUGCUGUAGCCCUCUCCAUGAGGGAAGCCCAACCAACACUUGUGGGUCUUGGACAUUCUCAGUUACAAUUACUAUUGGUCUGAAAGAGUGCGGUCCCCCCCCCCACACACACACACACACAAAAUCUGGAUGUUUACUUACUGGCAUGCUGGUGUAAUUGUCAAGAGUGGCUUUAUUUUUAAAAGGAUGUCUAAACUGAGCACAGUGGGUCAGGUCUAUAAUCCUAGCUACUCACAAGGCUGAGGCAACGAUCACUUGAGCCUAAGUGUUCAAGACCACCUUGGCCAAUAUGCCCUUUCAGGUUUCCAAUGGGGACUAAAGGCCAGUGGCUCUCCAGGAACCCUCCAGACUGUCCACACCAGGUUGGGACUGCUGCGGAAGCCCGGUUUACAGGCUGAGUAGCCAAGGGUUCUCACUGGUUCUCAACCUCUUCAACGUGAAGAUGCCAUUGUUGGACUACUAGGCUGUGGUGUUGUAUAAGCUGAAUAAACACCCUUUUAGUAUA